GUCGGUUUCGUUACGAGAACCGUAGCCGUCGACUGCGACAGCGGCGAAACCCAUAUCGCGGCGCCACGACUGCAGGGAGCAGGUGGCGCCGGCCCGCCGAGACGGAUGCGCGCACACUACCGUAAAGCCCUUGCGGUUGGCCUUGCGCGUGCGCUUGACGUUGCGGCACGUGCAGCGCGCGCCGAUCGGUUCAGUGCGUCGCGAGGCCAGUGUCCAGAGCAUGUGCCACGAUAUCGCGAUCGCGUCGCCGUCAUAAUAACCGUGAACGUGGCUCUGAUCGAAUUGAUCGACGACGUCAACCGCCGACGCUUUGGACGUCACGAUGACUUGGAGGCGCUCGGCGGUCACACCGGCAAUUUCUUCAAAGGUGACGACCGCACCGUCGACGACGGCCUCGACGCGCCCUCUGUAGCGAUCAAAGAUCUCCGUGGCCAACCAGGCGAGGGUGCGAGCGCGGUCGCCAACGUCGUUGCCGUAGAUCCACAUGUCAAUGUCUGACGCGGGCACAUCGUCCGCGACGCCGCAUGGCGUAUUGGGCGCUCGCGCGUCGAGGCACGAUGUCAGGGCGCCGCCGGCCAGUAUGACGCGGCGGCCAGACAUCACGACCGAGGCCACAAAAGGCCCAAAUACAGGAUAACGCUUCUCCAGCCGACGCCGAAACUUGUCCAGGCCGACCACAAGGGGCGCCUCUGGUGGCGGCGGGCCGGCGCCGGAUUUCGUCCGGGCGAUGAGGACCGACGGCAAUUCCCCUGUAUCGACGAACCGUUGGCGACAGCAUGCGUUGCGUCCGGAACGGUGCACGGAGCCGUGGACAAGGACCGCCGUGUGAUAGAUGCUUGGCGGGCCACCACAGGGCACCGGGAGUCGCCCUCGACUCCUCUCGUUCUGGAUGGCGUCGGCGGCCUCUUGAAGCGCAGGCCAGCCGACCCAAGCGCCUACAACGUCGCACUGGUCCGUGAGCGAUGGGUUAUCAUUGGGAAGGGGCAACAGCGGUGCGUAGGGAUGGCCGUCGUCUAUGGCGAGGAUGUCGCACAGUAGCAAGACGGAAUAGGCGGCAAUGGCAGAUCCGAUCGGGCCGAAUUCGCGAUUCACGCGCAAGGGGCGGAUCUCGGUCAAAAGGGCCGCACACAGCGCCUCGACGUGGCACCGGUCUACGUCGACAUAGCAGAGAGCCUGCCAGAAAUAGAGUACAGCAAGGUGGUCUCCUCCGCCGACGCCGGCGACGAGGCGCAGGAACUCGUCCCAACAUCUGCGGUCACAAUCGUGGAGGGUAGGUAUGUUUAUGCAGAGGGACUCGCCCGACUCGAUCUUUGUGGCUUCGACAAAGGCACCACCAAAUAGACUGGCAAAGUAGGUCGAGC
rnacentral:lncRNA from 1 species